AUUGGAAAACCCCAGUCACCUACGGAUCCACUGGUCCAGAUGGCCCCAUCCCACCAGAGCAGCCAAUGUAAAAUCCGAACAGAAACAGGGUCUCUUGCCAGUGAGGGAGCUGAGAUUCUGCCCCUCAAAAUGAAUCUGGAGAUUCUACAGCA
rnacentral:snoRNA from 1 species